rnacentral:rRNA from 1 species
CCCAGGUGGGAUUAGCUAGUAGGUGAGGUAAAGGCUCACCUAGGCGACGAUCCCUAGCUGGUCUGAGAGGAUGAUCAGCCACACUGGGACUGAGACACGGCCCAGACUCCUACGGGAGGCAGCAGUGGGGAAUAUUGCACAAUGGGGGAAACCCUGAUGCAGCCAUGCCGCGUGUGUGAAGAAGGCCUUCGGGUUGUAAAGCACUUUCAGCGAGGAGGAAAGGGUGUAAGUUAAUACCUUACAUCUGUGACGUUACUCGCAGAAGAAGCACCGGCUAACUCCGUGCCAGCAGCCGCGGUAAUACGGAGGGUGCGAGCGUUAAUCGGAAUUACUGGGCGUAAAGCGUGCGCAGGCGGUUUGUUAAGCGAGAUGUGAAAGCCCCGGGCUCAACCUGGGAACCGCAUUUCGAACUGGCAAACUAGAGUCUUGUAGAGGGGGGUAGAAUUCCAGGUGUAGCGGUGAAAUGCGUAGAGAUCUGGAGGAAUACCGGUGGCGAAGGCGGCCCCCUGGACAA